rnacentral:rRNA from 1 species
CCUACGGGGGGCUGCAGUAACGAAUCUUCCGCAAUGCACGAAAGUGUGACGGAGCGACGCCGCGUGGAGGACGAAGUCCUUCGGGAUGUAAACUCCUGUCAGGGGCCACCAAGUCCUGAGGGGCCCCAGAGGAAGGCACGGCUAACUCUGUGCCAGCAGCCGCGGUAAGACAGAGGUGCCGAGCGUUAGGCGGAAUCACUGGGCUUAAAGCGCGUGUAGGCGGGUCGUUAAGUACCUUGUGAAAUCCCACGGCUCAACCGUGGAACUGCUGGGUAUACUGGCGAUCUUGAGUCAUCUAGGGGCAGCCGGAACAGGCGGUGGAGCGGUGAAAUGCGUAGAUAUCGCCUGGAACGCCGAAGGUGAAGACAGGCUGCUGGGGAUGCUACUGACGCUGAGACGCGAAAGCCAGGGGAGCGAACGGGAUUAGAUACCCUUGUAGU